AAUUUUAACCAUUUUAACGUCCCCGCGAAAAUUGUACGAUUGCUUGCAAUCGCGAGGUAAGAUAUUCACUAGAAGAUUAUAAAAAACGGGCACUCAACAAGUGGAGUAAUAGUUAACGGAAACAGUCGAAAGUUUUGGCUGUUGGAAACGCAGCGCAGGCGGCAUCUGUGCACGGAAGCUGCGCUUUGAAGCUGCUCUGCACUUUCCAGACGUGGGUCACACGUGAUUCCUAAACGAUUUCAAUGGCGACUCUAUGACCUCAGCCGAGCGCUACUGCAUCGGUAAAGGCCUACCUCAACAAUUCCGAGCUACCUACUUUCUCCGGAUUUAUUCGAAGCCAAGCGUUUCGCCCAUCUCUGCCAGUUGAAACUUUCAACAAAAGCAGAAUCGGUUGCGAAUGUUCCAAUGCUCCCUCGCAAGUGAAAUUAAUCGCGCGCGAGGGCGUCAACGACAAUUGUCACAGAGAUCAGCCGAUACGAAUGACGGAGCAGAGAAAAGAAAUAUCUGAAAUUCCGUCCAUUUG